UCCUUAGAUGUUCGGGGCCGCACGCGCGCUACACUGAAGGAAUCAGCACGUCUUUCUCCUUGUCCGAAAGGACUGGGUAACCCGCUGAACCUCCUUCGUGCUAGGGAUUGGGGCUUGUAAUUCUUCCCCAUGAACGAGGAAUUCCCAGUAAGCGCGAGUCAUAAGCUCGCGUUGAUUACGUCCCUGCCCUUUGUACACACCGCCCGUCGCUACUACCGAUUGGAUGGUUUAGUGAGAUCCUCGGAUUGGUCCCGGCGCGGCCUCUGGUCGUGCCGGAGUGCCGAAAAGAAUGUCGAACUUGAUCAUCUAGAGGAAGUAAAAGUCGUAACA
rnacentral:rRNA from 1 species